rnacentral:rRNA from 1 species
AGACGGGUGAGUAACGCGUGGGAAUCUACCCUUUUCUACGGUAUAACGCGGGGAAACUUGUGCUAAUACCGUAUGUGUCCUUCGGGAGAAAGAUUUAUCGGGAAAGGAUGAGCCCGCGUUGGAUUANCUAGUUGGUGGGGUAAAGGCCUACCAAGGGGACGAUCCAUAGCUGGUCUGAGAGGAUGAUCAGCCACAUUGGGACUGAGACACGGCCCAAACUCCUACGGGAGGCAGCAGUGGGGAAUAUUGGACAAUGGGCGCAAGCCUGAUCCANCCAUGCCGCGUGAGUGAUGAAGGCCUUAGGGUUGUAAAGCUCUUUCACCGGANAAGAUAAUGACGGUAUCCGGANAAGAAGCCCCGGCUAACUUCGUGCCAGCAGCCGCGGUAAUACGAAGGGGGCUAGCGUUGUUCGGAAUUACUGGGCGUAAAGCGCACGUAGGCGGACAUUUAAGUCAGGGGUGAAAUCCCGGGGCUCAACCCCGGAACUGCCUUUGAUACUGGAUGUCUUGAGUGUGGAAGAGGUAAGUGGAAUUGCGAGUGUAGAGGUGAAAUUCGUANAUAUUCGCAGGAACACCAGUGGCGAAGGCGGCUUACUGGUCCAUUACUGACGCUGAGGUGCGAAAGCGUGGAGAGCAAACAGGAUUAUAUACCCUGGUANUCCACGCCGUAAACGAUGAAUGUUAGCCGUCGGGCAGUUUACUGUUCGGUGGCGCAUCUAACGCAUUAAACAUUCCGCCUGGAGAGUACGGUCGCAAGAUUAAAACUCAAAGGAAUUGACGGGGGCCCGCACAAGCGG